GACGAACGCUGGCGGCGUGCUUAACACAUGCAAGUCGAACGGAAAGGCCCUGCUUUUGUGGGGUGCUCGAGUGGCGAACGGGUGAGUAACACGUGAGUAACCUGCCCUUGACUUUGGGAUAACUUCAGGAAACUGGGGCUACUACCGGAUAGGAGCUCCUGCUGCAUGGUGGGGGUUGGAAAGUUUCGGCGGUUGGGGAUGGACUCGCGGCUUAUCAGCUUGUUGGUGGGGUAGUGGCUUACCAAGGCUUUGACGGGUAGCCGGCCUGAGGGGGUGACCGGCCACAUUGGGACUGAGAUACGGCCCAGACUCCUACGGGAGGCAGCAGUGGGGAAUAUUGCACAAUGGGCGGAAGCCUGAUGCAGCAACGCCGCGUGCGGGAUGACGGCCUUCGGGUUGUAAACCGCUUUCGCCUGUGACGAAGCGUGAGUGACGGUAAUGGGUAAAGAAGCACCGGCUAACUACGUG
rnacentral:rRNA from 1 species